UACGAAGGGGGCGAGCGUUGUUCGGAUUUACUGGGCGUAAAGCGCACGUAGGCGGCUUUGUAAGUUAGAGGUGAAAGCCCGGGGCUCAACUCCGGAAUUGCCUUUAAGACUGCAUCGCUAGAAUUGUGGAGAGGUAAGUGGAAUUCCGAGUGUAGAGGUGAAAUUCGUAGAUAUUCGGAAGAACACCAGUGGCGAAGGCGACUUACUGGACACAUAUUGACGCUGAGGUGCGAAAGCGUGGGGAGCAAACAGG
rnacentral:rRNA from 1 species